UCAGAUACAUGUUAUAAAACCUGUCUUACCAAAGCUCAACAGUUUAUUUGACUGUGCAGUGUCAGAGGAAGAAGCAUGUUGGCUCUUCCAUCCAUCCUGGCAUAUGUGUAUUUAUAAAAGAAUGUUUGAAAGUGAAAGCAAAACCCUGACCAAAGAAGGCAUUAUACACUUUUUGGAGCUCUAUGAAACAAAGAGUCUUCCAUGUGCACCAGGAUUUUCUGAGUUUAUUAUUGGACCACUAAUGGAAGCCCUUUCAGAAAGUUCUUUAUAUAGCAGGU